AGCCGCCCGUGCCCACGGAGAAGUGGGGGUUCCACGGAGAAGCGCUGCUGUUCAGCACCUGCAGUGGUUGCCAAGCCUGAGCUGCACUCAGGUGAAAAAUUGCCUGCUUAUUUAAGUGUUGGCCAGAUAUUUUAACAUCAUUAACCCUGCACCAGGUGCCGAGCCUCCGGCCUCUGCAGUAAAUUCUGAGGACAGGCGAGUGAGGGGGCUCUCAGCACCCCGGCUUUCAUGCAGUAAAACGAGAUGCUGAUUGCAGGGAGCUCGGCCGCAGGCCAGGCACCCAGAUGCCCCAUGCUGCCCGAUGACCGGCUUCUGAGUCAGUCAAUGCCCAGGCCAUACCCAAAGGCCACUGCGGGGAAGUGGAGGCUGCGGACGCCUGGCCCCAGUUCAGGGGGAUGAGCACACGGAGAAGGGGCGGCGGGUGAGUCCCUGGCUGGGGACCUCCCACCCUCUCCCUGGACAGCGCCAAGCCCCCGCAUGCUGAAGCAAACUCUGCCCGCUCAGGCGUGACCAGUGUCCAGCCAAUGACAAGCCCCUCGCACCUGCCUGCCCUGGAGUCACAGAUGGGCUUCUCAGAAACCUCACGUCUGGGGACUGGUGUGUGCAUUGUGGGGUGGCAGUGACACCCGUGGCCUGGCUCUCAGGGCACCCCAGCAGCCAAGCUGUGUCCGGGCUGAUAGCCUGGAGCCAGCAGGGGCCCUGGGAGACUGGACAUCGCCAGGCUCAGGGCAGGCUCUGCACCAGAGAGGUGCCCUGCUGGGGGUGGUGGGGGGUGUUGAGAAAUGUGGAGAAUUGUAAAUACUACAUUGGGGGUG
rnacentral:lncRNA from 1 species